GCCGGGAUAGUCCAGUGGUUAUGACGUCUGCCUUACACGCAGAAGGUCGCGAGUUCAAUCCUGGCUCCUGGUA
rnacentral:tRNA from 1 species